AUGUUCCAGCCACCCUCCGUUCCAAUUUCACCAUCAUCUUCUCACAGUUGGAACAACACCAAGUAUUUCCUUCCUUCCGGCCAGCUCCUGUCCAACCGGUCAUGCUUCAGUCCCUCCUUCUCCGAGCUUCCUUCUUCGAACCACACAUACUCCCUCCAUAUAUUUCAUCCUCAUUUUUGUGGUUUAAUUUAUGUUUGUCUAAGUUAA